rnacentral:rRNA from 1 species
UUCGCAAUGCCCGAAAGGGUGACGAAGCGACGCCGCGUGCGGGAAGAAGGCCUUCGGGUUGUAAACCGCUGUCGAGAGUUAGGAAGUGCAAGGAUGUUAAUAGCGUUCUUGCUUGACUAAGGCUCCGGAGGAAGCCACGGCUAACUCUGUGCCAGCAGCCGCGGUAAUACAGAGGUGGCGAGCGUUGUUCGGUAUUAUUGGGCGUAAAGAGCACGUAGGUGGUUUUGUAAGUCAGGUGUGAAAGCCUUCUGUUCAAAGGAAGAACGGCAUCUGAAACUGCAGAUCUUGAGUGUAGGAGGGGAGAGUGGAACUUCUGGUGGAGCGGUGAAAUGCGUAGAUAUCAGAAGGAACGUCGGCGGCGAAAGCGACUCUCUGGCCUAUUACUGACACUGAGUGUGCGAAAGUUAGGGGAGCAAACGGGAUUAGAUACCCCGGUAGUCCUAACUGUAAACGAUGGGCACUAAGUAGAGGGGUUUU